rnacentral:rRNA from 1 species
UCCGGAGGGUGCAAUCGUUAUUCGGAAUUAUUGGGCGUAAAGGGAGUGUAGGCGGCCAGAUAAGUCAGAGGUGAAAGCCCGGGGCUCAACCCCGGAAGUGCCUUUGAAACUAUCUGGCUUGAGUGCGGGAGAGGAAAGCGGAAUUCCCAGUGUAGAGGUGAAAUUCGUAGAUAUUGGGAGGAACACCGGUGGCGAAGGCGGCUUUCUGGACCGACACUGACGCUGAGGCGCGAAAGCGUGGGGAGCAAACAGG